rnacentral:lncRNA from 1 species
CAGCCAUCAUUAUCAUUGAUCAUUGCAUUGCAUUACAUCGUGCACUGCAUGCAGUGAACGUGUUGAUUAGCUGUUACCCUGCUAAAACAGUACAUGAAAUCCAUGUUGUUUUCAUGUGGAAUCUACGUUUUUACAUAGAUUUUACGUAGAUUCAACGUGGAUAUCAUGUACUGUUUUACUGGGUGGUGCUGGUUAUUUGAUAAUAUAAAGCGACGAGAUCGACCGUGUGUGGAAAAAGUGAUUCAUAAAAGCUCAGGGAUUCUUUACACAGCAUACUGUUUAUUAAGUUUGCAGCACGAUUCGAUCUCUUUCCAUUCAACAUGGAUAUCGUGUACUGUUUUACUGGGUGCUGGUUGUAUGAUAAUAUAAAGCUCGUAGAGAGAUCGACCGUGUGUGGAAAGAGUGAUUCUUCAAAGCUCAGGGAUUCUUUACACAGUAUACUGUCUAUUAAGUUUGCAGCAAGAUUCGACCUCUUUCCAUAAAGUAGGAAAGACCGCGUGUGAAGUGGAGAGAAAACGAACACUUAUCACUAAUCUGGAUUUGAAGGAAAUAAAUUUAAAUGGAUUGAUACAAAUUUUGAAGAAACUUUCAAUUCAAAUAUCCUCAUUAGUUGUUGAUCGGAAGAAAACUAAGAUUUUGACGGAAGUACAGGAAGAAUUACGUCGAAUCAGAAUAAGGAAAGACAGAAUUGGAAACAAAUGAGUUUGACAUUACAAAUACAUUGCCACUAGCCACUGAGCAAUAAAUAUUAGAAAUGGAGCGCUUUUUAUUGCACAAAAAAAAAUUAAAAUUAACUGCGCCAGAUGUUACAAGAAAUUGGUGGUUCCAAUCCAACGGAAAUGACCCGCAAAAUUAUGAGUACACUCUUUACUCUUGAAUUGUGUACAAAAUAAAAAAUUGUGUACACAUUCAAAGGUAAAAGAACAAAUAAAAAUAACUUCAGUACUUUAAGCAUCUGCAAAGUUAUAGAAAAAGUCGUAAUAAAAGACAACACAACUAUAACAGAAAUAAACAAAAUAAUAGAAAAUUGGCUUAUUAGAGCGAAGGACAAACUUUUGCGUAAAAAAACACACGCUUUAGCACAAAGUAAUAACACAAGAGAUGAAUAAAAAUCAACAAGAUGGAUAUUUAUGUGUUUGUGAUUUUUUAGGAUUAAGCAUAAUUUUUAUUCUAAGUUACUUAUGCUUUAAAAAAAUAUAUAUAUGUACAAAUAUAUAAACAUGUAUGCAUAAUUAAUAAAUAAUUGGA